GGAUGCGAUCAUACCAGCACUAACACAUCGGAUCCCAUCAGAACUCCAAAGUUAAGCGGGCUUGGGAGAGAGUAGUACUAGGAUGGGUGACCCCCUCGGAGAUCCUCGUGUUGCAUCCC